AUUCCAGCUCCAAUAGCGUAUAUUAAAGUUGUUGCGGUUAAAAAGCUCGUAGUUGGAUUUCUGUUGAGGGCGACCGGUCCAUACAACGUAUGCGCAUCUGGCUCGGCCUCGGCAUCCUCUCGAUAGACGUUUCUGCGCUUGAUUGCGUGGAGCGGAUCUCGGGACUUUUACUUUGAGGAAAUUAGAGUGUUCACGGCAGGCUAUCGCCAGAAUACAUUAGCAUGGAAUAAUACUAUAGGAUCUUGGUUCUAUUUUGUUGGUUUCUAGAAUUAAGAUAAUGAUUAAUAGGGACAAUUGGGGGCAUUCGUAUCAACACGUCAGAGGUGGAAUUCUUGGAUUGUGUUGCGACGAACUACUGCGAAAGCAUUUGCCAAGGAUGUUUUCAUCA
rnacentral:rRNA from 1 species